UCUAACUCCGUCUCCCUACCACCCUCCCUCUCCUCUGCCAACACACUUUGAUUACCUGGGCACAAGCUGACCUGGAGGAGUGCCUGGCUCUUUAGAAAAACCAUCUCCUCAUAGCCUUUUACCCUAUUAUGUUCCUGAAUCAUUCUACAUUCUAUUCCGAACCAACUUUCUGAAGAAGGUGAUGUAAAAAAGUCCAGACACAGGCCCCUUCUUCCAGUUUUGUUUUCUAAGGGAGACCUGAUUCAUCCAGACUCAUUGCUGAAUAAGAGACUCCCUUCUUCCUCGUGCCCUCUCUACCUCAGUUUGGUGGUAUAACUGGAUGGGUACUACAAGGGGUGACUGCUCCAAGGGUCAAGCUAGAGAGGGGCUCAGAACUUGCAUUGUGUGGCCUCCAUCCCAAGAUGGGAAUACCUCUUUGCUCCAGCAGCCCAAAGUCAGGAGGUUUGGGCUGCUGUUUUCUUCUGUGUUUAUCAAAGUUGCUUCGUAUAGGCUUCUGGGCUCCCUUGGUUUCUUAAUAGCUAUUGGCUGACUGGAGACUAUUUAGUUGCUUGUUUACCUGGGCUUAGAGGGUGACGUUUCUGUGGUCAGGUUGUGCAAAUCUGGAGAGAGGAUAUGUAAACAGGACAAGGCUGCUUUCCCAAAGGCCAGGGCCCAGAAAUAGUUCCUUGUGCUUCUGACCUAUUUCCUCCUCCCUGGACAGAAAGCCACUGAGCAAAUGUGCAAUAGUAAAACAUAACUACAAGUAGCUAUAUCCUGAUGGAGAUUGAUUUGCUGAUGACAACAAACUGCAGCCUUCCACCUGGAAAUAAGGCAGGACUGACCUUUCCCCGCACUUUGCUUCCUAGGCAUUAUAGUGGCCUAUGAGCAGAAUUUGCCAUGCCUUCCAUGGAGCAUUCUUUUUCCAAGUCAGGUCAAUCCAGCCUGCAGCUGUAAGUCAAUGAAGUUCCUCAGAUAAAGUGCAUGCAAAAAUGUUAUUUUUCAAGCACCAGUAAAGACACUUGUUUUAAUCUUAUACCCCUUGCACGUACUAUAGAGGAAGAGGGUGACCCUUAGUGUUGAAUAGAUCUGGGUGGGAUUUCCAUAUCUAUGGACAAGCUGUGGCUCUGGGCCAGUUUCUACAUCUGUACAAUGGAGUCAAAUCUUUUCCUUGCAGGGCUGGUGUGAUGGGAACAUGCCAGCUUCUUCACCAAGCCUGGUCCUAUGAAGGGGUGCCUCAGUACAUACUAGUUUCUCUUUCCUCUUAUUCCCCUCCUGCCCACCUGACAAAAUCCUUCUAUUUUGCCCACGUUACAAAACUCUUCUAUUUUGCCCACCUGGCAAAAUCCUUCUAUUUUGCCAUUAACCUGCUCAAGAAAGGACUUUGUCCCCAUCUGCAUUUUCUCUGCAAGAAUGUGCCCGCCUCUAAGAAUGGAGAGUAAACCCAUGGUAUACAAGGGGCUGGGGAGGCUAAUUCACAAGAGUUCAGAAAUUCCAACAGAGCUGCACAAGGAUGAUGUCAGAAAUAAGAGUGAUAACUCAGAAACCAGUGACAGUCUAUCAGCCCGGUUUCACAAAACUGGCAGCCCACUGGCCUCUGCCUCCUCUGCCUCCCACUCUCCUUGCCUUUCCCUGAAAAGCAAAUCUAAUGAUUGGCAAAAACAAAACCAAGGCUGGAGGAGAGGGGGUGGCUAGUCUGUGUUAUUUUGCGAAGCCAUUCAUCUCUGCCAGAUUUAGGUUUACCAGGAAAGUAGGUUGAAAUAGACGUGUGUCUGCUUUGUUCUAACCCCAUUCUUCUCUGGAUAGUGGUACCAAUCGGUAUCCUGGGCUUAUAAUGACAGAAAUAUGUGUGCCAGGCAUCACAGUGAACAUUUCACACAGAUGAGCAUGUUAUAUUUACACAAGCUUCUGAAGUACAUGCCAUUAUUAUCAUUCCCAUUCUUCAGAUGAAGAAACUAAGGCAGAGAGCUGUGGAGUAGCUUGUCUGUGGCCUCAUAACUGGAGUGUGGGAGAACAUCAGGAUUUGAACUCAGGCUGUCUGGCCACCUCCACCCCACCUGCUACCAACCUUCUGUGCCCUCUCAGUUCUCCCCACCCAUCAUGUUCUUUGCAGUCAGGACCCCAGCUUUAGGUGCCCAAAGCUUUCUGUGGUCCUGGUCACUUCACUUGGGCUAAGGGGCCAAUUAACUUACUGAGCCAUCCCAUGCCAAUGGGGAAGGGCUGGAGGAAACCCCACCACCAUCCCACACAUAGUCUGGACAGCCCUCACUCCUACCCCAGGAGCACAGAUCCACAUCCAGAGCAAAUGCCAUCUCAUCCUGGACAUCUUCCUUGAUUUUGCCCCUGAGGUCUAUACCACUUUAUACCUCUCUUGGGACCUUUGCCUCUUUCCAAAAAUUACUCGUGUCUGUACAAGAUUUCAUAGUCUCCAAAGGCCUUUCCCAUCCACCUAGUCCAGCUUCUUCCCAGGCCUUUUAACCUCCUUCUAUCACUGGGAUGGCAUUCAGCAUGGUAAUUCAGCACCUGAGCUCUGGAAUCCAGCCUGCAGCAUCCUAACUUCACCACUUGCUAGCUGUGUGCCGCUGGGCAAGGUACUUGCUCAACUUCUCAACAUCUCGGUUUCCCUAUCUGUGAAACUGGGAUAAUAAUAAUGUCACCCUUAUCUGGUUGGAGGGUUGAAUGAGAUAAGCAUACAAGCAUACACAGCACCCAAACUCAGUAAGUGCUGGCUGCUGUUAUCAUCUCACUAAAUCUUCUCCCAAAACUCCUGUGGGAUUAAACCUUCCCACCACCCUCCCACACACACUCUGGUUCUUGUCAUCAGUAAAAAUGCAUCUGAACCAGAUGACCUUUAAGCUUUCUUCCAGCUCCAUCAACCUAUGAUUCUACCAUGAAUCACAGUUAUUAUGGACACAUUUUAACUCUUUAUGCCAUAGCAAUCUCCUGAAGGCCCAGCCCUUAACAUAGGGCCUUGUAUACAGUUGGCUGUCCUGCCAGGGUGAUGUUAGCACCUAACAAUAGUCCUUGCCUCAUCCACGCACUGGGAUGAACAAAUGAGGAAAUUCCUAUAUAGCAUUUAGUCCAGUGCCUGGCACUGAGUAAGCCCCUAAUAAGUCAUGGUUUCUAUUAUUAUCCCAUCUGAUACUAAUAAGAUUCCCAAACAUGGUCAUUAAAAGCAUAGGAGCCACACUGGGUGUGGACUCAUCCUAGUGCUGAUCCUGUGAGACCUUGAGCAAGUUAAUUCACCACCCCAUGCCUCAAUUUCCUCCUCUGUAAUAUGGAUGUGAUUAUGAGUAACUUCCUAAUAAGGUUGUUGUGAGUUAAUAGAAGGGCACUUAGAAUUGUGCCUGGCAUCUGCUUGGUAUAUGUAAGUGCUUUUUGUCAUCAUUUACAGAUGUCAGCGGCACCAAGGGACAUCCCCAAGCAGUAGUGGAGUUGGGAUCCAAACCUAAGCUUGACUGAUUCCAGAGCCUCAGUGCUAAUAUUAGGAGAUAUUGCUGCCCUGUGUGAUCCCAUGCAUUUCAGCAGGAGCCUCCUUGUCCACUCCUUUCAGUUGUCUUCCCUGGCAAAGGAGUUUUUAUAAUGGUGAUUUCAGGAUGGGAGGAGGGUGAGUCAGCACCAGAGAGACCUAAGGAUGCCCUCAAAUCAUACCACAGGAGAAGCAGCCUUCUUCUCACCUGUGUCUGGUCGUAUCACUUUAGCAUUCCAUCAGGACCUGGCCCAGAAGCCCAGAAACAUGGCAACACCCACACCUGCCAUCUAGCCUGGAAGCUGCAGCGAAACCCUCAGCACUCACGCUGAUGUCACAUUUGAGGCUAGUCCCAGCUCUUCCAUGGAGACAGGCCCUGGCCUUGAGGCCAUUUCCCAUUUCUGAGGCAUGAUUCACUUAGCAGACAAGACCAGACAGACUCGUUCAUGUUCAUACCUACCGGAGGAAGGAGAGGUGGGUGGUGGAUCCAGGGGGAGAAGAAAAACAAACGGGGUUAGGGCUGGCAGGACUCUCGCUGCUGGGCUGCAGGGGCGGAGCAGGCAGGCAGAGCGCCUGACUUAGGAGCCGUGCCCAGCAUGGCCACCCACUCACCCAUUUAUCUUCCUUGCAGUCAAAUGUAUUGAUUUAAACAGGAAUCCGUCUGUGCUUCUAAAGCCCCAGAAACGCACUUACAUCUCACGUGUAGCACAAUGAUUUUCAAAGAGGUUUCCCACAAAUAAUUUUAAUUUGGGUUACUUUUUAAAUAUUUGAUUCUCUUAUUAACAAAGCAACACAUGCUUAUGAGGAAUGCUGGGACAACUUUUCAAAUGUCAAUUUUAAAUAUAUACAGAAUUAUACCACCAGCAAUAAGAUUUUCAGUAAAUUUCCCACUAGUCUGUUUUCUGAGUCCACAGACAUAUAUAGUUCAUGAAACAAAAUUGGAGCCAUACCACACAAAGAGUUCCAUAUCUUUUUUUCUUUUCAUUUAACAUAAAGUCAUUGGCAUUUUUCAAUGUUACCAAAUAUUCUGCUACAGCAAUUCAUAAUGGCUGCAUUUAUCAGAAUAGAUGUGU
rnacentral:lncRNA from 1 species